AGAGUUUGAUCCUGGCUCAGGACGAACGCUGGCGGUGUGCUUAACACAUGCAAGUCGAACGGUAAGGCCCUUUUUUGGGGUACACGAGUGGCGAACGGGUGAGUAACACGUGAGUAACCUGCCCUCAGCUCUGGGAUAACAGUCGGAAACGGUUGCUAAUACUGGAUAUGAGCUUGCAAGGCAUCUUGUGGGUUGGAAAGAUAUUUUUUGGUUGGGGAUGGACUCGCGGCCUAUCAGCUUGUUGGUGAGGUAGUGGCUCACCAAGGCUUCGACGGGUAGCCGGCCUGAGAGGGCGACCGGCCACAUUGGGACUGAGAUACGGCCCAAACUCCUACGGGAGGCAGCAGUGGGGAAUAUUGCACAAUGGACGGAAGUCUGAUGCAGCAACGCCGCGUGCGGGAUGACGGCCUUCGGGUUGUAAACCGCUUUCAAUUGUGACGAAGCUUUUGUGUGACGGUAGCAGUAGAAGAAGCACCGGCUAACUACGUGCCAGCAGCCGCGGUGAUACGUAGGGUGCGAGCGUUGUCCGGAUUUAUUGGGCGUAAAGAGCUUGUAGGCGGUUUGUCGCGUCGGGAGUGAAAACUUGGGGCUUAACCCUGAGCUUGCUUUCGAUACGGGCUGACUUGAGGGAGGUAGGGGAGAAUGGAAUUCCUGGUGGAGCGGUGGAAUGCGCAGAUAUCAGGAGGAACACCGGUGGCGAAGGCGGUUCUCUGGACCUUUCCUGACGCUGAGAAGCGAAAGCGUGGGGAGCAAACAGGCUUAGAUACCCUGGUAGUCCACGCCGUAAACGGUGGGUACUAGGUGUGGGGGACAUUCCACGUUCUCCGUGCCGUAGCUAACGCAUUAAGUACCCCGCCUGGGGAGUACGGCCGCAAGGCUAAAACUCAAAGGAAUUGACGGGGCCCCGCACAAGCGGCGGAGCAUGCGGAUUAAUUCGAUGCAACGCGAAGAACCUUA
rnacentral:rRNA from 1 species